CAGCAGCCGCGGUAAUACGUAGGGGGCGAGCGUUGUCCGGAAUCAUUGGGCGUAAAGGGCUCGUAGGCGGCUCGGUAAGUCGAUCGUGAAAUCCCGGAGCUCAACUCCGGAACUGCGGUCGAUACUGCCGUGGCUAGAGUCAGGUAGAGGAGAGUAGAAUUCCCGGUGUAGCGGUGGAAUGCGCAGAUAUCGGGAGGAAUACCAUUUAGCGAAGGCGGCUCUCUGGGCCUGUACUGACGCUGAGGAGCGAAAGCGUGGGUAGCAAACAGGAUUAGAUACCCUGGUAGUCCACGCCGUAAACGUUGGGCACUAGGCGUGGUGGCCUGACCAAGGGCUGCUGUGCCGACGCUAACGCAUUAAGUGCCCCGCCUGGGGAGUACGGCCGCAAGGCUAAAACUCAAAGGAAUUGACGGGUCCCCGCACAAGCGGCGGAGCAUGCGGCUUAAUUCGAUGCAACCCGAAGAACCUUACCAGGUCUUGACAUCCUCUGACAAUCCUAGAGAUAGGACGUCCCCUUCGGGGGCAGAGUGACAGGUGGUGCAUGGUUGUCGUCAGCUCGUGUCGUGAGAUGUUGGGUUAAGUCCCGCAACGAGCGCAACCCUUGAUCUUAGUUGCCAGCAUUCAGUUGGGCACUCUAAGGUGACUGCCGGUGACAAACCGGAGGAAGGUGGGGAUGACGUCAAAUCAUCAUGCCCCUUAUGACCUGGGCUACACACGUGCUACAAUGGACAGAACAAAGGGCAGCGAAACCGCGAGGUUAAGCCAAUCCCACAAAUCUGUUCUCAGUUCGGAUCGCAGUCUGCAACUCGACUGCGUGAAGCUGGAAUCGCUAGUAAUCGCGGAUCAGCAUGCCGCGGUGAAUACGUUCCCGGGCCUUGUACACACCGCCCGU
rnacentral:rRNA from 1 species